CUUGCUGCUGGCUGCGACCUGGGAUCAUGGGGCAGGUGGCAUCUUGAGCUCCCUGGCUGCAGCCAGCCUCAGGCA